GACGAACGCUGGCGGCGUGCCUAACACAUGCAAGUCGAACGGAGCUUUGCUUUGAACGGCGGAGAGCUUGCUCUCCAAAGUUCUGUGUGAAGCUUAGUGGCGGACGGGUGAGUAACGCGUGAGUAACCUGCCGUUCAGAGGGGGACAACAGUUGGAAGCGACUGCUAAUACCGCAUAAUGUACCGAGAAGGCAUCUUCUUGGUACCAAAGAUUUAUCGCUGAAUGAUGGACUCGCGUCUGAUUAGAUAGUUGGUGAGGUAACGGCUCACCAAGUCGACGAUCAGUAGCCGGACUGAGAGGUUGAACGGCCACAUUGGGACUGAGACACGGCCCAGACUCCUACGGGAGGCAGCAGUGGGGGAUAUUGGUCAAUGGGGGAAACCCUGAACCAGCGACGCCGCGUGAGGGAAGAAGGUUAUUUGAUUGUAAACCUCUGUCGUCAGGGAAGAAAAUGACGGUACCUGACAAGGAAGCACCGGCUAACUACGUGCCAGCA
rnacentral:rRNA from 1 species